rnacentral:rRNA from 1 species
UACGUAGGUGGCAAGCGUUGUCCGGAUUUACUGGGCGUAAAGGGCGUGCAGGCGGUUUGUUAAGUGCAGGGUGAAAGCUCCCGGCUCAACUGGGAGAGGUCCUUGCAUACUGGCGAACUCGAGGGAGGCAGAGGAAAGUGGAAUUCCCGGUGUAGUGGUGAUAUGCGUAGAGAUCGGGAGGAACACCCGUGGCGAAGGCGGCAUUCUGGACCAUAACUGACACUGAGAGACGAAAGCCAGGGGAGCAAACGGG